rnacentral:lncRNA from 10 species
CUUGAGUGAAAAGAGCCAGGUGCAGGACAGCAUCGGGAGCACACUGUCGCUUGUGAACACGGUUGUACCUGCACAGAAAAGCUGAAAAUGUGGAAAGAAACCGGCUAGAGCAGACAGCUUUGGAGACAAUGUCUGGGCCUGGAGAUCUGGCUCACAGGGAGACUGACUUCACUGAACAUCCUUUUGAAAUAUUGGGAUGUUUAACCAUAUGCAUAUACUGCCUUUUCAGAGAAGAAGGGGGAGGAUUUGGAAGCCCAAUCUCCAGGGGACUCCUGCAGGCCAGCAGCAGGGACGGACUCACCUCCCUGUGCCCUCUCCCAGCAGAUGACCUCAGCCCUCACAGUUGAAGAAGUUGGUAAGAAACUGACAAUUUGGUGUAGGAAAAUUUAAAAAACUGUCAGCAAGUUCACUGAAUAACAUUUGGAGGACUUCAUUAUGAAAAAGGGAUCAGGCCAUUCAUUCAUUCCUUAAGCAUUUAUGGCGUGCCCACCAGGUGCCCAAAGUGUGCUCCAAAGAGGCACAGGUGAGGCCACAGGAUCUGUCCUCAGAUCCGGAUUUCACAGCCCAGUGGAGGAAGUGAUGUCUAACAAGGUGAGUGUCAUACAGCACACCACUCACGGGAGAAAAAAAGCUCUGGAGCAAUGGCAACGGGACAGAGCCCACCCGAGGAGAUGGGAAGAUGUGGGAGGCACACCUCAGAGGGGUGGAGAGUCCCUGGGAACUGUGCUUCAGGCAGAAGGGACAGCCUAGGCGAGAAAUAGCAUGCCAGGCACAGGGGAAUUUUAUCAUAAGGGGAGGCAAGAGUAUAAGAAAACCGGGUUUGCCCUAUCGCAUUCAAGGGUGGCUCUCUUGGCCAGCAUCAUUCAGGUGGCUGUUUUGAGUUGUUCCCGGCAGCCUCCACCAAAGACAAAAGAGGACUGUGUACAAGCUCUCACCUGGCCAGGCCCUCGUGACUGGCAGCUUACAUUGCCAAGACAGCUGCUUGGAUCAUGAGAUGUAGCACAGCUGGUCCAAAAGGCAAAUAAGAAACGAUCCGUGGUGUCACCUCAAGUGUCUCAAAAUCAUUGAAGCACAUGCUGAGAGCCCACCUCUCACUUUGCAGAUGAGGAAGCAGAGGAGGGGAGGGAGUUGUCUAAGGUCACACCACAGGAUAAGCAUUGAGUGACAGGGCAGGAAUCAGGCACCUGGAGAUGGAGCUGCAAAGGACACUGUCCUCGACCUUGAGGGGCUUACAACGUGUUAUUGACUGAACUGUGCCCCCCUUAACUCGUAUGUUGAAAUCCUGACCCCCAAUACUUCCAAAUGUGACUGCAUUUGGAGAAAGGGCCUUUAAAGAGGUUAUUAAGGUAAAGGGAGGUCAUGAGUGGACUCUAAUCCAACAUGGCCAGGGUCAUAUUCCAAAAGUGGAAAUUAGGACAGAGACACACAGAAGACACAGAGAAAAGGUGGCCAUCUACGAGCCACCUUCUACAAGAGAGGCCUCAGAAUGAACCCAACCCUGCUGACACCUUGAUCUUGGACUUCUAGCCACCAGAAUGGUGAGGACAUAAAUUCCUGUUGCUUAAGCCACCCAGUCUGUGGUAUUCGUUACAGCAGUCACAGAAAAAUAGUACACAGGCCUUGAGAAACAGACGUGAACACUGCUCCAAUCCCUGGAGUAACAGGGAUUCCUGUGAGCUGCCUGACUGCAGGCAGCACUGUCAGCAUCCCCAUCCCCCAGGAUCGCCUGGGACCUCCCUCUUAUCACAUCGCUCCACCUCAGCUCCUUGGCAGCCAGGCCUCCAGCGGGAGGCAGAGGGCAUCCUCAAGCUGGGCAAUUGGAGGAGCAUUUAAUGAAGGGGCUCUUUACAAAGGUGUGGGCAGGGUUUUGGGAGGUCAGAGAGGAAUGAUGCAGCCCUUCUGCAACCUCGCCUCACCCCAGGCCUGCAGGCAUGCGGAGGGAGUGCCCGCUGGAACCCAGGGCCAGGACAGGGCCUGUGCAGAGGAGUCCACCUUCAGCAAGACGGACCACCAAUACUCUGCGACUUAGAGAAGGAGACUGAGGAAUAAAUGCCCAGACCGUACUCCGCUCCUGCCCUCCUGGUUUCCUGCCAGAGUCUCCCCUUGUCUGAAGCCAACCUGAAGACACCCCUUGAGGACCCCUUCACUGUACUGGGACCAUGGGGGGCUGAGCCUCUGGGAUCAGUCACCUCCCUAACCUCCUGCAUGAGGAACAACUUGACGAACACACAUUUCAACCUGUAACAGGGUGGACAAGCAGAACCCUUCUUCAGAAGCACAUUUAUGAAGUUCCCGCAGUAACUGGCUCAGAGAGAAAUGCUGCUGUAACAGCUGAGAGAAAACUGAUAACCCUGAAAAUAAAGUGUCCAUGGAAAUCUCAUAUAUUGCCUAUUGUUUAAAAACAAUGUCUCACAUAAAAGAGGUGAUGGAUUAGUUUCUUUCAUUAUGCUGCCUCAAG